rnacentral:misc_RNA from 1 species
UAAAAUUUUUCAAAAUUAUAAUUUUAUCUAUUAAUUUUAACGUUUUUAAAAAAUUACUGUUUGCCCCCUAAAAUUUUUAAAUUUAAAAUUUUACCCAUAAACUUUGGUGUACUUUUUAAAAAAACUACUAUUUGCCCCUCUAAUAUUUUUAUUUCUGUUUUGGCCUUGCAUUUCUAUAUAAAUUUCAUUCAUAUUUUUAUAUUAUUUAAUAUUUGAUCUCUUAAUAUUAUAUAUUUUUAUUUUAAUCCCUAUAUUUUUAUCAAUAUUUCAUUUAGUUUCAUUUUAAUA